rnacentral:rRNA from 1 species
GGAGCUAUUGGCUUUGAAUUGUAUUGUGGAAAUGUAUUACCAACAGAGGUGCAGGUGCCAGCCUAUUGAAAUAAAGCGUCAAUGAGGGUGAGAAUCCUGUUUGUCAUGUGCAGCCCUUUGUGCACGGUGUAUAUUUGCUGAGUCACACUCCUUGGCAUUGGAAUGCAAAGUGGGUGGUAAGUUUCAUGUAAAGGUAAACAUGCAAUUGAGACUGAUAGCACACAAGUACCAUGAGGGAAAUAUGAAAAGGACUUUGAAAAGAGAAUUAAAUGAGUUUGUAUUUGCUGAACACAAAGUAAACAGACUUGAUUUGCUUGGUGGGAGUGUUGCACUUGCUUGACAAGAGCUUUGGGCUGUGGGUGUAAUGAUUCUUUCUUUGCAUGCCAGUUUCUAUUUGUACAUCUGAUUACCUUUGCACAUGAAUGAUAAGUCUCCUGUGGGGGGUGGAUUGCAUGUGCAUGUAAUGAUUUGUGUUUUGAUAAAUGUGUCUGGUGUAUGUGUGUGUUCCUGUGCUUGGGGAUGCUUCCUUCCUUGGACUUACAAGCCCUGACACACACAUGCUGGCAAAAUGCUUCUGCUUGACCCGUCUUGAAACACGGACCAAGGAGUCUAACAGAUGUGCAAAGUUUGAAGGUGGUAUACCUUUGUGUGCAAUGAAAGUGUCAGCUGGGAUAUGUGCACCAGCACCCAAUUAAUUAGCGGACAGAGGUUUGAGUUGGAGCAUAUCUAUUAGGACCCGAAAGAUGGUGAACUAUGCCUGAACAGAAUGAAUUCAGAGGAAACUCUGAUGGAGGUUCGUAUCGAUACUGACGUGCAAAUCGUUCGUCAUAUUUGGGUAUAGGGGCGAAAGACUAAUCGAACCAUCUAGUAGCUGGUUCCCUCCGAAGUUUCCCUCAGGAUAGCUGGAGUUGCUCAGUUUUAUCAGGUAAAGCGAAUGAUUAGAGGAAUUGGGGACAGGUUUGUCUUUGACCUAUUCUCAAACUUUAAAUGGGUAAUAUGUAGUGGUUGCUGUAUGGAACUUCUAAGAUAAAUGGCAAUAUUGGGUGGGCCAUUUUUGGUAAGCAGAACUGGCGAUGAGGGAUGAACCUA